rnacentral:rRNA from 1 species
GAACGCGAAGAACCUUACCUGGUCUUGACAUGUACAGAAGGUUUUAGAGAUAAGACUGUGCCUUCGGGAACUGUAACACAGGUGCUGCAUGGCUGUCGUCAGCUCGUGUCGUGAGAUGUUGGGUUAAGUCCCGCAACGAGCGCAACCCUUGUCAUUAGUUGCCAUCAUUAAGUUGGGCACUCUAAUGAGACCGCCGGUGAUAAACCGGAGGAAGGUGGGGAUGAUGUCAAGUCAUCAUGGCCCUUAUGACCAGGGCUUCACACGUCAUACAAUGGUAGGUACAGAGGGUAGCGAAGCGGCGACGUGAAGCCAAUCUCAGAAAGCCUAUCGUAGUCCGGAUUGUAGUCUGCAACUCGACUACAUGAAGUCGGAAUCGCUAGUGAUCGCAGAUCAGCAUGUUGCGGUGAAUACGUUCCCGGGUCUUGUACACACC